rnacentral:rRNA from 1 species
GACGAACGCUGGCGGCGUGCUUAACACAUGCAAGUCGAACGGAAAGGCCCCCACCUUGGUGGGGGUGCUCGAGUGGCGAACGGGUGAGUAACACGUGGGUGAUCUGCCCUGUACUUCGGGAUAAGCUUGGGAGACUGGGUCUAAUACCGGAUAGGACCAUGGUUUAGUGUCUCAUGGUGGAAAAAUUAUUGUUUUGGUGCAGGAUGAGCUCGCGGCCUAUCAGCUUGUUGGUGGGGUAAUGGCCUACCAAGGCGUCGACGGGUAGCCGGCCUGAGAGGGUGGACGGCCACAUUGGGACUGAGAUACGGCCCAGACUCCUACGGGAGGCAGCAGUGGGGAAUAUUGCACAAUGGGCGCAAGCCUGAUGCAGCGACGCCGCGUGGGGGAUGACGGCCUUCGGGUUGUAAACUCCUUUCGUUAGGGACGAAGCCAUAC